AAAACAUGGAAUAAAGAUAUGAUUUAUGCCUCCUCAGGAACAGAAAUCAAGUGUUUUGAUGUGCGUCUGGUAAGCAAUUUAUGGGCAACAAAGAGCUACUGGAGAAUUAUAAUUAUAACAAAGAGGAGAUAAACAAGGUUGUAUGCAACUUGAAAUCCUCAUUUCUUGCUGCAGCUGAUGAUAGUGGUGAGGUGAAGAUUAUUGACAUUCGCCAGCCAUGCCUCUAUAAAACUCUACGAGCUGGUCAUACAUCUGUAUCCUUCUUGAUUCCUAGUGGUGCUUCGGAACAUGGAUGCUAAUUAUGCAGAUCUGGAGUUUUGUGUUUAAGCUACUUAUACUUUUGGUCUGUUCCUUGUAUAUUACAUUAUAGUACUGUUAUAGUCUCUAACUUUGCGGCUAAGUUCUAAUUUCAUCCCUAACGUUUGAAAU